rnacentral:rRNA from 1 species
UUGCUAGUAAUCGCAGAUCAGAAUGCUGCGGUGAAUACGUUCCCGGGCCUUGUACACACCGCCCGUCACACCAUGGGAGCCGGUAAUACCCGAAGUCAGUAGUCUAACCGCAAGGGGGACGCUGCCGAAGGUAGGAUUGGCGACUGGGGUGAAGUCGUAACAAGGUAAC